CAAUAAGAGUUAUCCAUACAGUGACAGCGUUUAAUUAUGAAAGUUAGCCUUUCGUGGUUCAAAAACGCGGAAUCUCGUCUCAAUCAUCAUUUGUCAGGACUUUUCGGGGGUAAGUUCUUUGGCUUGGACAGGACCCCAGUAGUCCUAGCCGUAAACGAUGGAUACUAGGUGUUGUGCGACUCGACCCGUGCAGUGUUGUAGCUAACGCGUUAAGUAUCUCGCUUGGGGAGUACGUUCGCAAGAAUGAAACGGCUCAUUCUUCAACAGGCACGCGGUCAGAGAUCACUUUCCCCUCCCACUGCUUGGGAGCUCAGCACUGUUUCACGUUCUAUUUCACUACCCCUUGGGGGUUCUUUUCAAAAUCUGUACGAUUUUACCGAUCUAAAUCGAGCAAGUUUCCAUGAAGAAGAUCUUGUUCAACAUGUUCUAUUCGAUACUGGUAGGAGAAGAACCCGACUCGGUAUUCUUAAAAAAAGCUCCUCGGUGGAGGAGUAGAAGCGUUGGUCCCCUUCGGUCAAGUGCUUGUGCGUGCUCUUACCUACCGUAGGACCUCGUCCAAAGAUACUUUUAAGGCCGACCACUACAUAGGAGCGAUAGGAAGCCAAGCCGUCAAAAGGAAAGGCGAGCAGCCCUUAUUGCAAUAGCAAACGCUGUGUACCUAUUUUGGGGCUUUACUCUUUCAUGAUGGAACGAGGAGCUUGAGUUGAUUUGCGGCAGUAGCGGCAAGCACCGAAGAAGUUCUACUUUCCCUUCGACAUCUUGUAAGUCACUGCCUCCUUACCCAGCGAGUGAAUGGACGAGCCAAUAAACUGCCGUAAGGAGGGGAUGCCUAAGGCUAGGCUUGCGACUGGAGUGAAGUCGUAACAAGGUAGCCAUACUGGAAGGUGCGGCUAGAUCACCUCCUUU
rfam:Oryza glaberrima chromosome 1 Oglab01_0263_15, whole genome shotgun sequence.